UACGGGGGGAGCAAGCGUUGUUCGGAUUCACUGGGCGUAAAGAGCUCGUAGGUGGUUUGUCGCGUUGUUCGUGAAAACUCACAGCUUAACUGUGGGCGUGCGGGCGAUACGGGCAGACUGGAGUACUGCAGGGGAGACUGGAAUUCCUGGUGUAGCGGUGGAAUGCGCAGAUAUCAGGAGGAACACCGGUGGCGAAGGCGGGUCUCUGGGCAGUAACUGACGCUGAGGAGCGAAAGCGUGGGGAGCGAACAGG
rnacentral:rRNA from 1 species